AUACAGAGGGUGCAAGCGUUAUUCGGAAUUACUGGGCGUAAAGCGCGCGUAGGCGGAUGAUUAAGUCAGUUGUGAAAGCCCUGGGCUCAACCUAGGAACUGCAUCUGAUACUGGUCAUCCAGAGUUUAAGAGAGGGAAGUGGAAUUCCAGGUGUAGCAGUGAAAUGCGUAGAUAUCUGGAGGAACAUCAGUGGCGAAGGCGACUUCCUGGCUUAGAACUGACGCUGAGGUGCGAAAGCGUGGGUAGCGAACGGGAUUAGAAACCCUAGUAGUCC
rnacentral:rRNA from 1 species